UACAGAGGGUGCGAGCGUUAAUCGGAAUGACUGGGACGUAAAGGGCGCGUAGGCGGUUAUAUAAGUGAGAUGUGAAAUCCCUGGGCUUAACCUAGGAAUUGCAUUUUUAGACUGUAUGGCUAGAGUGCAGUAGAGGGUGGUGGAAUUUCCGGUGUAGCGGUGAAAUGCGUAGAGAUCGGAAGGAACAUCAGUGGCGAAGGCGACCACCUGGACUGUCACAGACGCUGAGGCGCGAAAGCGUGGGGAGCAAACAGG
rnacentral:rRNA from 1 species